GGUUCGUAGUUGAACUGUGGGCCGCGCUGCCGCCGCGCUCCGCCCCACCCGCAGAGGGUGCGUGGCACGCGGCGCGCGCUGCCCGCGAACACUCAGACACAAGCAGCGCGGGAACGCUUCCCCACACCACGCGUGUCAUGCACGCACGGGGCGCCCGCGAGUCUUUACUGUGACUAAAAAAGCGCGACCAAAGCAGUCCACCGGCCUGAAUUGCAAAGCAUGGGAUAACAAAGCAUCAGCCUCCGGGCCACCGAUUCGGCUUUUGUUGGUUUUAACAGUCCGUUGGAGAUUAUGGGCCGGCGCGAGCACGCACCGCGGCAUUCCACUCGGAACACGCCGCACGCCCCGCGGCGCCUCGCGCGUCGCGGCUCGCCGGCCCGGGAAUGAAGGAGGGCGGCUCGGGGGAGAACGUACUGGCGCGUCAGAGGUGAAAUUCUUAGACCGCGCCAAGACGAACCACAGC
rnacentral:rRNA from 1 species